rfam:Gossypium arboreum cultivar AKA8401 contig_74102_3, whole genome shotgun sequence.
AACCCAUGGUGAGGGCACCUUCUUAGUAAGUCAUUGUAUCUCUCACAUGCAUCGUAAAGUGUUUCUAAAUCCAUCUGCACAAAAGAAGAGAUAUCAUUACGUAAUUU